AUGGUAGAGGGUUUCUAUCCUGGCUCAGAUUGAACGCUGGCGGGAUGCUUUACACAUGCAAGUCGAACGGCAGCACGGACUUCGGUCUGGUGGCGAGCGGCGAACGGGUGAGUAAUGUAUCGGAACGUGUCAGUAGCGGGGGGAUAACUGCUGAAAGCGUAGCUAAUACCGCAUAACACUUUCAAAGCUGGGACCCUUCGGGCCUCGCACUAUUAGAGCGGCCGAUAUCGGAUUAGCUAGUUGGUGGGGUACCCACACCAAGGUUGUCGAUGAUCCGUAGCUGGUUUGGAGAGGACGACCAGCCACACUGGGACUGAGACACGGCCCAGGACUCCCUACGGGAGGCAGGGGGAAUUUUUGGACAAUGGGGAAACCCUGAUCCAGCCAUCCCGCGUGCGAUGAAGGCCUUCGCCACACUUUUGGCAGGAAAGAAACGGCACGGGAUACCCCGCACCCGACGGUACCUGCAGAAUAAGCAACGCUAAUCACGCCGGUGCAAGCGCUACAGGUGUAAUACGUAGGGCAAGCGUUAAUCGGAAUUACUGGGCGUAAAGCGUGCGCAGGCGGUUCGGAAAGAAAGAUGUGAAAUCCCAGAGCGAACUUUGGAACUGCAUUUUUAACUGUCGAGCUUAGAGUGUGUCAGAGGGAGGUGGAAUUUGCGUGUAGCAGUGAAAUGCGUAGAUAUGCGGAUAAUACCGAUGGCGAAGGCAGCCUCCCGGGAUAACACUGACGCCGGCGCACGAAAGCGUGGGAGCAACAGGAUUAGAUACCCUGGUAGUCCACGCCCUAAACGAUGUCAACUAGCUGUUGGGGCCUUCGGGCCUUGGUAGCGCAGUGGCUGAACUGUGAAGUUGGACCGCCUGGGAGUACGGUCGCAAGAUUAAAACUCAAAGGAAUUGACGGGGACCGCACAAAGUUGUGGAUGAUGUGGAUUAAUUCGAUGCAAACGCGAAAACCUUACCUACCCUUGACAUGUCUGGAAUCCCGAAGAGAUUUGGGGAGUGCUCGCAAGAGAACCGGAACACAGGUGCUGCAUGGCUGUCGUCAGCUCGUGUCGCGCAGAUGCUGGGUUGAAAGUCCUGCACCGAUGCAACCCUUGUCAUUAGUUGCUACGAAAGGGCACUCUAAUGAGACUGCCGGUGACAGUUCGGAGGAAGGUGGGGAUGACGUCAAGUCCUCAUGGCCCUUAUGGGUAGGGCUUCACACGUCAUACAAUGGUCGGGGACAGAGGGUCGCCAACCCGCGAGGGGGAGCCAAUCCUUGUGUCCCCGAUCAGUCCGGAUCGCGGGGUAGUCUGCAACUCGAUCGGGUGAAGUCGAAUCGCUAGUAAUCGCGGAUCAGUACGUCGCGGUGAAUACGUUCCCUGGUCUUGUACACACCGCCCGUCACACCAUGGGAGUGGGUUUUACCAGAAGCAGUUAGCCUAACCGUAUGAGGGCGAUUACCACGGCAGGAUUCAUGACUGGGGUAGUCAACAAGGUAG
rnacentral:rRNA from 1 species